AGGAAAUUUGAGAGGAGCUGUCCUUAGUACGAGAGGACCGGGAUGGACAUACCUCUGGUGUACCAGUUGUCGUGCCAACGGCAUAGCUGGGUAGCUAUGUAUGGACGGGAUAAGUGCUGAAAGCAUCUAAGCAUGAAGCCCCCCUCAAGAUGAGAUUUCCCAACUUCGGUUAUAAGAUCCCUCAAAGAUGAUGAGGUUAAUAGGUUCGAGGUGGAAGCGUAGCGAUACGUGGAGCUGACGAAUACUAAUCGAUCGAAGACUUAAUCAAUUU
rnacentral:rRNA from 1 species